UGGCUCUCCCAUCGAUGAAGAACGCAGCGAAAUGCGAUAAGUAAUGUGAAUUGCAGAAUUCAGUGAAUCAUCGAAUCUUUGAACGCACCUUGCGCUCUUUGGUAUUCCGAAGAGCAUGCCUGUUUGAGUGUCAUUAAAUUCUCAACCUUGAAAGGCUUGUCUUUUCAAUGGCUUGGAUGUGAGGGUUUUGCUGGCUUCCUUCAGUGGAUGGUCUGCUCCCUUUAAAAGCAUUAGUGGGAUCCUUUGUGGACGGUCACUUGGUGUGAUAAUUAUCUACGCCGUUUGUACUGUGAAGCAAAACUUGUGGGAACCUGCUUAUAACCGUCUGUAAUGGACAAUUUUGAACCUUUGACCUCAAAUCAGGUAGGACUACCCGCUGA
rnacentral:misc_RNA from 1 species